ACGGAAGGCAGCAGUGGGGAAUAUUGGACAAUGGCCGGAAGGCCGAUCCAGCCAUGCCGCGUGAAGGCAGACGGUCCUAUGGAUUGUAAACUUCUUUUGUACGGGAGCAAUAAGGUCUACGUGUAGAUUGAUGAGAGUACCGUACGAAUAAGCAUCGGCUAACUCCGUGCCAGCAGCCGCGGUAAUACGGAGGAUGCGAGCGUUAUCCGGAUUUAUUGGGUUUAAAGGGUGCGUAGGCGGGCUGGUAAGUCAGCGGUGAAACGCAGGUGCUCAACACCUGACCUGCCGUUGAUACUGCCGGUCUUGAAUGCGGAUGCUGUGGGAGGAAUGUGUGGUGUAGCGGUGAAAUGCAUAGAUAUCACACAGAACACCGAUUGCGAAGGCAUCUCACAAAUCCGCAAUGACGCUGAGGCACGAAAGUGCGGGGAUCGAACAGGAUUAGAUACCCUGGUA
rnacentral:rRNA from 1 species